GAUGAACGCUGGCGGCGUGCCUAAUACAUGCAAGUCGAGCGAACAGACGAGGAGCUUGCUCCUCUGACGUUAGCGGCGGACGGGUGAGUAACACGUGGAUAACCUACCUAUAAGACUGGGAUAACUUCGGGAAACCGGAGCUAAUACCGGAUAAUAUAUUGAACCGCAUGGUUCAAUAGUGAAAGACGGUUUUGCUGUCACUUAUAGAUGGAUCCGCGCCGCAUUAGCUAGUUGGUAAGGUAACGGCUUACCAAGGCGACGAUGCGUAGCCGACCUGAGAGUAGGGGAGGCAAAACUGGGACUGAGACACGGACCAGACUCGUACGGGAGGCAGGAGUAGGGAAUAUUGGAAAACGGGCGGAAGCAUGAUGGAGCAAUGCCGCGUGAAUGGUGAAGGCCUUAGGGUUGUAAAGCUCUUUUACCCGGGAGGAUAAUGACAGUAUCGGGAGAAUAAGCGCCGGCUAACUCCGUG
rnacentral:rRNA from 1 species